ACCAUCUUAGCUCAGUGGUAGACCAUUUGUCUUUUAAUCACAUGGUCAUGGGUUCGAUUCCCACAGAUGGCU